AUCGAGUAAGUCGUCAACCAGUUGAAAUGCCAUUCCUAACUGGCGACCAUAUUGAAAGGCGAUAGACUGUAAGGUGGAAUCAGCUCCAGAAAGCACUGAGACCUUGAGAAAAAUCAUUGUUCUUGAUUUUGAAAUUAACGUUCUUGCUGGAAUUAUGAUAAUUUUCACCUGUGAUAACAAGAUGAUGACUUGCUGGUUUUGAAGUCGGGCCAGCAUGCCGGAAGCCAUGGCGAGAAUGAAAUCCCCAGCUAUGAUCGACUGUGAAAUAAAGGCAGUUGUGUUAAAUGAAACUUAAUUCAUGCUUUUUAUCUUUUCAUACUUUCUUCUGUCCCCAGAGAAUGUUGACUGAUGGUCUACUCCUUCUGCUAUCCGCGACGUCAAUUACGUCAUCAUGAACCAAGGACGCCGUAUGAAUCAUUUCAGCUAUUUGUGCAAUCUUCUUCUGUUUUUGAAUCACACCCCUAUCAGCACGAAAACAUUCAGUAUUAGUUUGGCCGUGGGUUUUCUAUCAAUAUAGAUAACAAACGGAGCAUUUUGAUCUAGAUGGUAGUUGAUUGCUCUAGCCAUACACAUAGUAAUCACUGGUCGGAUCGCUUUACCCUCUCCAUUAAAAUAGUAUUGGGCAAUCUGCCUUAGCUCAGGCUGUGUGUUGGUCAGACCCUGUAUUAAUAGCAUGUGAAAAUUUAUGUAAAUUGAUGGCAAUAAAUAUAUAAACUAUCAAG